rnacentral:tRNA from 1 species
GUACCAGUGGUCUAGUGGUAGAAUAGUACCCUACCAUGGUACAGACCCGGGGGUUUGAUUCUCGGCUGGUGCA